rnacentral:lncRNA from 1 species
UGAAUGGAGGUUUAUAUGUACUAUUCAACAAGAAAAUGUGUCCACCAAUACACAGAUGCCCUAUUUGAACUAAAUAUAAAUAGAAGAUGUAGUAUGAUUGCCAAUGACAACUUUCCACAAGAGACCCAAAAAACUCGGAAAUUAACAAUUAUAGGUAAUCGUACAGCCUUCAACAAUGAGCAAAGCCCAUACCGCACAGUCAGCUAAAGACCCGAAAUGACAAUGUAAAACAAUUCAAUGGAGAAAACAAAAUGCCUUAUUUAUAUUAAAAAAAAAUGAAUGAAAAACAAAUAUAUAACAAAUAAACAAAUGAUAACCACUGUCAGAUUUACAGGCUCUCGACUUGGGACAGACACAUACAUAAAGUAUGUAUUAUUUACUAUGUUCAGUGAACCAUGAAAUCUGGGUCGAAACUUUAAUUCAACAUACAAUUUAGAAAGACCAAGUCAUAAAUAAAAUUUCACCGAGUCUCAAGUUUGAUGUGACUUCAUCUUCAUUAUCAUGAUUAUAGAAAACCUUGGC